GAUGAAGAACGCAGCGAAAUGCGAUACGUAAUGUGAAUUGCAGAAUUCAGUGAAUCAUCGAAUCUUUGAACGCAUAUUGCGCUCUUUGGUAUUCCGAAGAGCAUGCUUGUUUGAGUAUCAGUAAACACCUCAACCUCUUCUUGAUUUUUCAAAAGGAGGGUGGACUUGAGCUAUCCCAACAACCUUUACCGGUCGGCGGGCGGCUUGAAAUGCAGGUGCAGCUGGACUUUUAUCUGAGCUAAAAGCAUAUCUAUUUAGUCCUCGUCAAACAGGAUUAUUACUUUUGCUGCAGCUAACAUAAAGGAUAAUUGUCCUCUUUGCUGACUGAUGCAGGAUUUUACGACACUUUAUGUGUUGUUCAACUCGAUCUCAAAUCAAGUAAGACUACCCGCUGAACUUAAGCAUGUCAUAAGCGGAGGA
rnacentral:misc_RNA from 1 species